CCCCCCGUCGCUCGGUGUACCAAGCCACUGCUCCACCUGCCCCAGUUCUAAUUUCGAAGCAGUCGUCCUCCCAAACCGAGCCUCCCCUUCCUCUGCUCUUCCGCCGGCGUCCUCCAUGCAGAUCCAUGGCCGCCCCCAAGGUUUUACUGAGCUGCUUAUCAGAUAAUCAAACUGCAGCAUGAAGAGGUCUGGCGUGGCAGCGGGUCGAGUGCUUGAAGAAGUUCGUCGCCGGCAACGCCAUAGACACCCGUCGUGCGUCCGCCGGGCUCCACGAUGACCUGCGUCGAGGACGCCUCCACCUUGGUUGGAUCUGCAGCUCGCUGUCAUCUUGCAGCUUGUCAGACGAGGGACGCCGUGGAAUUAGGUUAUCUUUUGGAGGCUCCGCGUCGCCGGGAUCUGAAACCGGCGCCAUCCAUCCAAGUGGAUCUGGCUCUAGAUACGAAAGUGAGGCCAGAUUCGUCAGUCGCCAUCCUCAGGCACGUCGUCGGUGCCUGAGAUUCCGGCCAAGUCCACGCUCGCCGGGCAUCCGGCUCUCCUUAUUUUUUCUGGCGCUUUGUGGUAUGGUUAUGACUGUCAAUUUUUGCAGUUCAAAAUCUGCUUGUGUUUGGCGAAUUAAAAAUUGUAGACAUCUUCUAGUAUUUAAGGUAUUGUUGCUUCUAUGCUUUCUAAUUUUAGUUGUGCAAAACACCGUGAGAUAAUGAAAAAUAAGAUCGACCUGGCACUAGCUUUUCCUGCGGCUGCGAUCAUGUAAUAUGUCACUGACCUCCAACAGACCAAUGGUGCUAAAGGGCACAUGUGCUGAAAAAUACCCUAAUCUGCCAUAUGCUAGUUAUACUUAUAUAGCUUAUCUGCAGUGUGUGAUUCUCCUUUUUUUUCUUCUCUAGUAUCUUUGACAUCUUGGUGUUUUAUCUUCUCAGCUGUAGUAAUUUCAUGAGGCUUACUUCAUGUUUUGUGAAUUUAAAUAUACAGGCCUGCUGAAUCAGCUUCUUCUGAGCUUCGGUCCUCUGUUUGGGCGGAUGACAUCUGUAAUUUCAUGGGUUCCGCAAAGAGGCACUGUACAGAAAAGAGCAAGAUACCUGUAGAUAGGGACGUAAUCAGGUGAAGUGCUUUAUUUGCUCCGAGUUUUGUGCUUCAGCUUUCCUUUUCUUGUGCUUUUCAACAUAUAUGAAGCAUGGGAAUAGUUUCACUGCCCAUGAGAUUUUUAUGGAAAUGUUGCACUAACGUUCUCCAUGCAGCUGUUGGCACAUUAUAUGGGUUUCCUUUUUUACUUGUAUUCCACUAAGUCAGAUAUCUGCUUGUUCCAUUAGUGCUGUGUGGUUGCAGUAUGAUUGUAUGAUUGUUGUCACUCUUCAUUGUUUUGUAAUGUAAUUCUAUCGAUAGUCCUUACUUUUGUCGUACGCAGCAAAUAGGUAUUCGUUUUGCAUGGCAUUUGCUUCAAAUUGUUGCCGUUAAUUCGCAUAUUUAUAAUCUAGUUAUAGUUAUUUUCUCCAUGAGCUUCUUUUGCUAAAAUGCUUAUGAUACAGUCUUUGUUCUUGAAGCCUGUGAUCUGUCAGUAUGAUUAGGUUGCACUGUACAUGUUAGGAAAUGUAUUCAUUUACCUGGCUAAGUUAUUAUUCAGAAUUGUCAGGAUGUAGCACAUGCUAAAUAUGAAACUGUAUUCUCCUUGUCUACAUUUCAUUCAAUAUAUCUGAAUUUGUUUACUUUAUCCUGUAAUGCAGAAAACAGCUAAUAAGUGAUUCUGGAAGAGUAUUUAAGUCAAAAAUUCCGGAGCAGAUAAGGGAAGACCUGAUUCAAUCCUUUAUAUUAUACUUCCAUGACAUAUUUGAUGGAUGCUAAAGCUUUUUCGUGGAAUUUUUUCUAAAGGUGGCGGUGGAAUCCUGUUGGUCUACUACUCUACUACGAGCUACUUGUGCCUUCUGCUGCUUAUUUUUUUUAGGAAAUUUUUGUUUUCUAAGAUGAGAUGAGAAGUAGAGUGGCCAACUCAGUUUGCUUUCGUUCUAUUUGCUAUGGGCUUGUAACCCCAGUCUCGUUCCACCCCUUCUGUUUGUACUAUGCAGCAAAUUAUCUCUGUCUUUCUAAUAGACAUACCAUAGAUGGUACACUAUGAGUUACCACAAUGUACUCUAUGGAACAGUAUCAAAGGACAAAAUGCUUAAGAAAAUUUUCCUUUAUCCAA